AUUGAACGCUGGCGGCAUGCUUUACACAUGCAAGUCGAACGGCAGCGCGGGCUUCGGCCUGGCGGCGAGGGGCGAACGGGUGAGUAAUGCAUCGGAACGUGCCCAGUAGUGGGGGAUAGCCCGGCGAAAGCCGGAUUAAUACCGCAUACGACCUGAGGGUGAAAGCGGGGGACCGAAAGGCCUCGCGCUAUUGGAGCGGCCGAUGUCGGAUUAGCUAGUUGGUGGGGUAAAGGCUUACCAAGGCGACGAUCCGUAGCUGGUCUGAGAGGACGACCAGCCACACUGGGACUGAGACACGGCCCAGACUCCUACGGGAGGCAGCAGUGGGGAAUUUUGGACAAUGGGGGCAACCCUGAUCCAGCCAUGCCGCGUGCGGGAAGAAGGCCUUCGGGUUGUAAACCGCUUUUGUUCGGGAAGAAAUCCUCUGGGCUAAUACCCCGGGGGGAUGACGGUACCGGAAGAAUAAGCACCGGCUAACUACGUG
rnacentral:rRNA from 1 species